UACGUAGGGGGCAAGCGUUGUCCGGAUUUAUUGGGCGUAAAGAGCGUGUAGGCGGCCAUGUAGGUCCGUUGUGAAACUCGAGGCUCAACCUCGAGACGCCGAUGGAAACCAUGUGGCUAGAGUCCGGAAGAGGAGAGUGGAAUUCCUGGUGUAGCGGUGAAAUGCGCAGAUAUCAGGAAGAACACCCGUGGCUAAGGCGGCUCCUCUAGUACGGUACUGACGCUGAGACGCGAAAGCGUGGGGAGCGAACAGG
rnacentral:rRNA from 1 species